UCCGUAGGUGAACCUGCGGAAGGAUCAUUACCUGGCCUUGGGCCGCUCGCGGGAGCUAGUCGCUUGCGACGACGCUGCCGAGGGUGCUUAGCCCUUGACUAUCACCUUGACUACGUGCACCUUUUGUUGUUUCCUCGGCAGGUCAUCUGCCGCCAGGAACCCCUCAAACCUUUUUGCAACAGCAUCCAAAACUUCUGAAAACAAACCAAAAUUAUUUACAACUUUUAACAAUGGAUCUCUUGGUUCUGGCAUCGAUGAAGAACGCAGCGAAAUGCGAUAAGUAGUGUGAAUUGCAGAAUUCAGUGAAUCAUCGAAUCUUUGAACGCACAUUGCGCCCGCUGGUAUUCCGGCGGGCAUGCCUGUUCGAGCGUCAUUUCAACCCUCAAGCCCCGGCGUUUGGUGUUGGGGAUCGGCUCUGCCUUCUGGCGGCGCCGCCCCCGAACAUACAUUGGCCGGUCUCGCUGCAGCCUCCAUUGCGUAGUAGCUAACACCUCGCAACUGGAACGCGGCGCGGCCAUGCCGUAAAACCCCACUCUGAUGUUGACCUCGGAUCAGGUAGGAAUACCCGCUGAACUUAAGCAUAUCAAUAAGGCGGGAGGGGAAGGUCGGACUGGGGCAAGGGCACACAGGGGGGGAUA
rnacentral:rRNA from 1 species